CCCUUAGAUGUUCUGGGCCGCACGCGCGCUACACUGAUACGUUCAACGAGUUUACAACCUUGAUCGAUAGGUCUGGGUAAUCUUUGGAAUGCGUAUCGUGCUAGGGAUAGAUUAUUGCAAUUAUUAAUCUUGAACGAGGAAUUCCUAGUAAACGCAAGUCAUCAACUUGCAUUGAUUACGUCCCUGCCCUUUGUACACACCGCCCGUCGCACCUACCGAUUGAAUGGUCCGGUGAAGCCUCCGGAUUGGCGCGCACCUCGGUGCCGCCGAGAAGUUGGCUAAACCUUNCNAUUUAGNGGAAGGUGAANUCGUANCA
rnacentral:rRNA from 1 species